UACGUAGGGGGCUAGCGUUGUCCGGAUUUAUUGGGCGUAAAGAGCGUGUAGGCGGCCAUGUAGGUCCGGUGUGAAAACUCGAGGCUUAACCUCGAGAUGUCAUCGGAAACCAUUUGGCUAGAGUCCGGGAGAGGAGAGUGGAAUUCCUGGUGUGGCGGUGAAAUGCGCAGAUAUCAGGAAGAACACCAAUGGCGAAAGCAGCUCUCUGGGACGGUACUGACGCUGAGACGCGAAAGCGUGGGGAGCGAACAGG
rnacentral:rRNA from 1 species